UAAUAACAAAUCAAAUUUAAGGGAGGCAUGUGAGAUUUUUGAAAAUGUAUAAGAGGGGGACAAUUAAAAGGUUGGGAACCACAGACCUAAUGGUUAAUAUGAUGAAAAGCAAUGACAUAUACAAGGGGGGCACCAAAGUAAUCAUCCCCUCGGUCUACAUUUUUUAAAUAAUUCUUUUAUUCUACAAUUUUUAAUAUAAUAAAGAUAUAUAUUUUUAAUAAAAUUUGCCCCCUUGAAAAACCUCAUGGAACAGUACAUAGGUAUUUUACAUUUUCAUUCAAAUUUGAACUUAACACGCUUAGAGUGAACUGAUAUAAAUUUUGAUCAAUGUUUCAAACAAAGUACCACUGCAAAAUAUUCCGCAUAUAUUGUGUCAUCAUUAGUGUCAUGAAAAACAAAAAACAUAGUUAAACCUUUGAAUAGGCUUCAUCAGUACACUUAGAAAGUAAAAAAAUAUAUAUCCUAUUUCUAAUGCAACUACAUUCACAAAAAAAUUAAUAUUAUUAAAAUUAAGAAAUUACUUAAUUAUUUAAUUAAUUAUAUUCAUAUAGAAUAAUUAAAGUAACAAUACAAAAAAGUAAAAUUUUUUUUUAGAAACGUUCAAAUGUACAAAUUAUUUCAAUAUGCAAUAAUCAUUAAUGUCGUUGUUCAAUUUACAUUUUUAAUCUAUAUUAAAUUAAAAUAACAGUUGCUUAUUACUAAAUUAUAGAUAUGCAUUGAAAUAAUAAGAAAUACUUACAAAAUACUUUUAAAAUUAUUUUAAUUUUAACCAGCUAAAAAAAAUGUAAAUAUUAUAUCUGGAAUACAUUAACGUAAACCUCAGUUUUCAUAAUUAUU